rnacentral:rRNA from 1 species
AUUGAACGCUGGCGGCAGGCCUAACACAUGCAAGUCGAGCGGUAGAGAGAAGCUUGCUUCUCUUGAGAGCGGCGGACGGGUGAGUAAUGCCUAGGAAUCUGCCUGGUAGUGGGGGAUAACGUUCGGAAACGGACGCUAAUACCGCAUACGUCCUACGGGAGAAAGCAGGGGACCUUCGGGCCUUGCGCUAUCAGAUGAGCCUAGGUCGGAUUAGCUAGUUGGUGAGGUAAUGGCUCACCAAGGCGACGAUCCGUAACUGGUCUGAGAGGAUGAUCAGUCACACUGGAACUGAGACACGGUCCAGACUCCUACGGGAGGCAGCAGUGGGGAAUAUUGGACAAUGGGCGAAAGCCUGAUCCAGCCAUGCCGCGUGUGUGAAGAAGGUCUUCGGAUUGUAAAGCACUUUAAGUUGGGAGGAAGGGCAGUUACCUAAUACGUAAUUGUUUUGACGUUACCGACAGAAUAAGCACCGGCUAACUCUGUGCCAGCAGCCGCGGUAAUACAGAGGGUGCAAGCGUUAAUCGGAAUUACUGGGCGUAAAGCGCGCGUAGGUGGUUAGU